rnacentral:rRNA from 1 species
AGGGUUAGUCGGGACCUAAGGCGAGGCCGAAAGGCGUAGUCGAUGGAAAGCAGGUUAAUAUUCCUGCACCACCUGUCGUGAGCGAUGGGGUGACGGAGAAGGAUAGAUCAGCCGAGUGUUGGAUUACUCGGUUUAAGCAUGUAGGAGUAAAGGAUUGGCAAAUCCGUCCUUUUUUAACUCCAAGGUGUGAAUACGAGAGGCCUAGCCUCAUAAAGUGAUUGAUUCCAUACUUCCUAGAAAAACCUCUAAGUGUUGACUGGCAGGUGCUCGUACUGUAAACGGACACACGUACGCGGGUAGAGUAUACCAAGGUGUUUGAGAUAAUUAUGGUCAAGGAACUCGGCAAACUAGCUCCGUAACUUCGGAAUAAGGAGUGCCUGUGUUAAGUGAAAGCUCUUGCAGCUGAAGCUGAGACAGGUGGCACUGAACUGGUGGAAGCGACUGUUUAUCAAAAACACAGGCCUGUGCUAACCCGCAAGGGGAUGUAUACGGGCUGACGCCUGCCCGGUGCUGGACGGUUAAGGGGAUGGGUUAUCCUUCGGGAGAAGCUUAGAACCGAAGCCCCAGUAAACGGCGGCCGUAACUAUAACGGUCCUAAGGUAGCGAAAUUCCUUGUCGUCUAAUUAGCGACCCGCAUGAAUGGCGUAACGACUUCUAUGCUGUCUCGACCAUAAUCUCAGCGAAAUUGUAGUGCUGGUGAAGAUGCCAGCUUCCCGUUGUGGGACGGAAAGACCCCGUGCACCUUUACUAUAACCUAGCACUGAAUUUUGGUAUUAAAUGCGUAGGAUAGGUGGGAGACUUUGAAGGUUUGGUUUCGGCUGGACCAGAGUCGUUGGUGAAAUACCACCCUUUUGAUAUUAGAAUUCUAACUGUAAUCCGUUAUCCGGAUUAAGGACACUGUUAGGCGGGUAGUUUGACUGGGGCGGUUGACUCCUAAAGAGUAACGGAGUCGCUCAAAGGUUCUCUCAGCCUGAUUGGAAACCAGGCGUCGAGUGUAAUGGCAGAAGAGAGCUUGACUGUGAGAUUGACAAAUCGAGCAGGUACGAAAGUAGGACAUAGUGACCCGGUGGCUUCCAUGUGGGAGGGCCAUCGAUCAUCGGAUAAAAGGUACGCCGGGGAUAACAGAUUAAUCGCGCCCAAGAGUUCACAUCGACGGCGCGGAUUGAUACCUCGAUGUCGGCUCAUCGCAUCCCGGGGCUGAAGAAGGUCCCAAGGGUUUAGCUGUUCGCUAAUUAAAGCGGUACGCGAGCUGGGUUCAGAACGUCGUGAGACAGUUCGGUCCCUAUCUACAACGGGCGAAGGAGAAUUGAGAGGAGUUGCUCAUAGUACGAGAGGACCUGAGUGAACAAACCUCUAGUGUACCAGUUGUCGUGCCAACGGCAUUGCUGGGUAGCUACGUUUGGAAAGGAUAACCGCUGAAAGCAUCUUAAGUGGGAAACCUACCUCGAGAUUAAUUCUCCCGAACCGUAUGGUUCCUAAAGAUCACUCGAAGACUACGAGUUUGAUAGGCACAAAGUGUAAGUCCUGUGAAGGAUUCAGCUAAUGUGUACUAAUAGAUCGUGAGCCUUAACUAC